GCGUCGACGUCUCGACACGUCCAGCUGAUCUCACUCACUCGCAUGCGUAGGAUUAUGCAACAAAUGUACUUAUGUAUUGUUUGUGUUUUCGAUAAAAUCUUGUCAAUUUGAACUUAGUUAUUUUUGUCUUCUUAUUUUAUUGUAAAAUAGAUCAAAAUACGUAACCAAAUGUUUCAGUAGUUAGAUUACAGUUGUCUGAAUGUGUACAAUAUUGACGAAUCACAAAAAUAAAUAUAAUAAUAAAGACGAGUUAGGUCAGAGUUUGUAAUAGUGGACAAAGAAAAGGACAGUACUUCAUUGGGUGGGUCUCUCUUGGGUUUGUUAUGAAUGGAAGGAUUUCAAUAAGAUGUUGUUGUUUAAUAUCAAGGAUAUUUCCUGAAUUUGUACUCUCAAAAUCUACAGUGGGUCUUCCUAUUUUACUCGCCUUGUGUUUGUUUUACGUCUUCGACUGCUAACCGUGACUGCACGAACAGGCAACAGAAUUUUGUUACUUAAGAAACUAACUGGCGCCCAACUAAUUGUUCAAAAUUAUUAACGUCUAAACUAGAGCCCUGUAAGCCACUGAUCCCGGCUGUGUAAGGUGAAAGAUUAAAGGGUUUCAGAAAAUGUGACAGCAAAUCUAACGAAAUAUUACAAUUUACUGACCCCUAACUAAUUCAAAAUGCCACCUAUUAUGAAUAGUGUAAAUUUGAUACAAUCAGUGAAAUGAUUGAACCACUAAAUAUAUAAAUAUAUAAAUAACCACUAAACCUACCGACACUUCAUGUAUACCAAUUUGUACCGAGAGUGAUUAAAUGUCCACUUUAAAAUAAAAACAUAUAUUUUAAUAUUGAA
rnacentral:lncRNA from 1 species